rnacentral:rRNA from 1 species
AGUCGAACGGUAACAGCAGAGCUUGCUCUGGCUGACGAGUGGCGCACGGGUGCGUAACGCGUAUACAAUCUACCUAUUACUGGGGUAUAGCCCGGAGAAAUUUGGAUUAACCCCCCAUAGUAUUACUGAAUGGCAUCAUUUAGUAAUUAAAACCACGGUGGUAAUAGAUGAGUAUGCGUCCUAUUAGUUAGUUGGUAAGGUAACGGCUUACCAAGGCAGCGAUNGGUAGGGGUCCUGAGAGGGAGAUCCCCCACNCUGGUACUGAGACACGGACCAGACUCNUACGGGAGGCAGCAGUGAGGAAUAUUGGACAAUGGAGGCAACUCUGAUCCAGCCAUGCCGCGUGCAGGAAGACUGCCCUAUGGGUUGUAAACUGCUUUUAUAGAGGAAGAAACCUUCUUACGUGUAAGAAGCUGACGGUACUCUACGAAUAAGGAUCGGCUAACUCCGUGCCAGCAGCCGCGGUAAUACGGAGGAUCCAAGCGUUAUCCGGAAUCAUUGGGUUUAAAGGGUCCGUAGGCGGGUCUAUAAGUCAGUGGUGAAAGUCUUCCGCUCAACGGGAGAACUGCCAUUGAUACUGUAGGUCUUGAGUCAUUAUGAAGUGGUUAGAAUGAGUAGUGUAGCGGUGAAAUGCAUAGAUAUUACUCAGAAUACCGAUUGCGAAGGCAGAUCACUAAUAAUGUACUGACGCUGAUGGACGAAAGCGUAGGUAGCGAACAGGAUUAGAUACCCUGGUAGUCUACGCCGUAAACGAUGGUCACUAGCUGUCCGAGCUAAUUGAGGUUUGGGUGGUUAAGCGAAAGUGAUAAGUGACCCACCUGGGGAGUACGUUCGCAAGAAUGAAACUCAAAGGAAUUGACGGGGGCCCGCACNAGCGGUGGAGCAUGUGGUUUAAUUCGAUGAUACGCGAGGAACCUUACCAGGGCUUAAAUGUAGUCUGACGUAUCUGGAAACAGAUAUUUCUUCGGACAGAUUACAAGGUGCUGCAUGGUUGUCGUCAGCUCGUGCCGUGAGGUGUCAGGUUAAGUCCUAUAACGAGCGCAACCCCUGUGGUUAGUUGCCAGCGAGUAAUGUCGGGAACUCUAGCCAGACUGCCGGUGCAAACCGCGAGGAAGGUGGGGAUGACGUCAAAUCAUCACGGCCCNUACGUCCUGGGCCACACACGUGCUACAAUGGUAGGGACAGAGAGCAGCCACUUCGCGAGAAGGAGCGAAUCUAUAAACCCUAUCACAGUUCGGAUCGCAGUCUGCAACUCGACUGCGUGAAGCUGGAAUCGCUAGUAAUCGCAUAUCAGCCAUGAUGCGGUGAAUACGUUCCCGGGCCUUGUACACACCGCCCGUCAAGCCAUGGAAGCUGGGGGUACCUGAAGUCCGUUACCGUAAGGAGC